rnacentral:rRNA from 1 species
GACGAACGCUGGCGGCGUGCUUAACACAUGCAAGUCGAACGGAAAGGCCCUGCUUUUGUGGGGUGCUCGAGUGGCGAACGGGUGAGUAACACGUGAGUAACCUGCCCUUGACUUUGGGAUAACUUCAGGAAACUGGGGCUAAUACCGGAUAGGAGCUCCUGCUGCAUGGUGGGGGUUGGAAAGUUUCGGCGGUUGGGGAUGGACUCGCGGCUUAUCAGCUUGCUGGUGGGGUAGUGGCUUACCAAGGCUGUGACGGGUAGCCGGCCUGAGAGGGGGACCGGCGACAAUGGGACUGAGGGACGGACCAGACUCCUACAGGAGGCAGCAGUGGGGAAUAUUGCACAGUGGGCGGAAGCCUGAUACAGCAACGCCGCGUGCGGGAUGACGGCCUUCGGGUUGUAAACCGCUUUAGCCUGUGACGAAGCGUGAGUGACGGUAAUGGAUAAAGAAGCACCGGCUAACUACGUG